AAAUUAAAAAACAAUUUAUUGAAAAAGAGUAAUGCUUUAUACAAAUUCCUAUUAUAAAACCCCAAAAUGUCUAUUGGUCUGUUUCCAGGUGUGGUAGAAGAAUAUAAAAAGAUCAAAAUUGGAUAAAUUCUAUUGUAACAAUUUCGUUGGUCAUUUUGGGCCAUAAAAUUUUUUUGUAAUGUUUGGUAACUGAUAUCCACAUGGAAUUACACUCACACAUCAUGAAGAUCUAUGUAUGUGGCAAAAGCCAUUUAAAUUUUAACUUCCAAAAGCAUAUAUUCUCAGGUUUGGAAGGCACACUAAAAUUUAUUAGGUCCAAUUCCUCAUAAGACACAGUGGCUGACUUUCCUUGUGUAGUUUAUUAUGAAGUACCAUUUCCAAACUAACUAUCCUAGCAGCGUCAGCUGCCAGCUAACAGCAAGAGCUCUGAGGGCAUCACUGAACAGAUAGCACCUUAUGAGUUAUUAUGAUUCAAAAAUCUCCCUUGCUGUUGGAUUUACCAACACGUAGGCUUUUAUUUCUUCCCAUUACAUCUGUUUAGCCACAGAAAGCAUCGGGCCAUACUCACUGCAGAAGAUAAGACUUCCUCAGAAUCUUAUUUGUUUAGUGCACUCAAUUUUACUUCACUGUCUCAUCACUUGAGAGACUGGUUAAGGCAAGAAACCCAUUUCUUAACAUUUUUUUUGUUUUCAAACAUUUGAAAAGCAACACCAAAACGUAUGCAGUUAAUUCCUCAAUUCUUUCCCUUAGUAUAGCACUUUUUAAAUUACAAAACCACACUUACAUGUAUUCUAUCUCACUGGAUCCCCACAACAUCACUGUGAGGUGGGAAGAUCAGGAAUUACAAACCACCGCUUACAGAUGAAGCAAUAAGCUUACAGCAGCCAAAUGCCUUGCUCAAACACAGACGGUGAUUGAUAGCACCAAGACUCAAAUCCAGGUCUCCAGACACCAAUGCCAACACCCUUUCCAUUACAUCAUCUUGCUCAAGUGAAAUAGCAUUCUGUACAGACUGGAAAAGUAAGAGCAGUUGUUAAAAUGGAACAGAGCACAAACAUUCCAAGAUAGCACUACACCGUCAGCCUCUACAGAAGACCUUGGGUCUGAAAAUUAAAACUUCGGGGGAAUCUCAAGCAGCUUCUCCAAAGAGUCUUGCAAGGGGCCUCCCUGCACUAACUGGAUCUUAUAAAUUAAAAGAAUCAACCUCAAGCAUAAGCAGAAGACACUUAGAUAGGACAUUUCCAGUAGGAAUGUAACUUUUACUAUGAAAAAAUCAUAUUAAAGGUUAAAAAGUUAUAUCUAAUACUUGAGGAUUAUUUAUUUAAGCGUGCACACUUGAGAAGUUACCAGGCUUCAAACUUUUUCAGUCAUCCCAUUUUCUUGUCUGAACUCUACCAAUCCUCAAUUUACCCCAAAUCUCGGAAUGCCUAGGAGAGGUCUAAGAGCUCAAGUUCAAGUUUGGCCUUCACUCCCUCAACUCGAACCACCAGCAUAGGAAUUUAGGAUGAAGCCACACCUAGAGUGGCAGAAGUGUCACCCAGGGAGUUAGAGGCAAAACUAGAGCUUAUGCCUGGGCGUCGCUUUCCUCAAACCAGGAUUCUCUUCAUUUCCUUAUGACAGAGCACAUGAUCAGAAGACUUGAUCAACUGAAGACUGAUAACCAUGGAAUCACACAACAGAAUGAGCCCAUAAGGGAGCUGCAGGGGGACUGGGGCCUCUGGACGGCCGCUGUGAGGUGGGGGUGCACUCACUGCUCAGAUUCAGCAAGGAGUCAAAGACUUUGCACUGGAUCUGCCCGGUGCUCUGCGACACGCAGGACAUCCACAGCCCCUCGUACAUGGCCUGGGCGGUCACGAUGUUGUCGCCGGCAUAGGAGUAAAUCCUCCACUGGGGCAGGGCAGUGCUGACGAUGGCGCCGAUCCAUCCCAGGAAGGCGAGAAUGAAGCCCAACAGCUGCAGCCCCGCGUUGGCCAUGACUCGCUCGGGCGCCCGCGCUGGCUCAGGGGUGGCAGGUGCAGAAGGCGGAGAGUUUGCAGGUGGGCAACCCGGACUCCCGAAGGUGGCUGGGCCCCGCGGAGGAAGUUAAGGCGGGGAGCCCUGCUCGCUGCGCCGCCGCUGGAGAAGCUCUGGGUCGGGGUUGGGGUCCGCGCCCGGGGCGGCGCUGGAGUCUGGAUACUAGAAGCUGCGGUUGCUCCCAGGCUCGGGAACUGA
rnacentral:lncRNA from 10 species